CUGCAGCCAAUUAAGCCAACCGGCCUCCUUUCCCUGUGGGGGCCCGGUGUGCAGUGGCUGCUGACAGCAGCCUUCUUGGUAUUGCAGGUGGCUUGUUGCCUGUACAGGUUGCCCUCAGGGACCUUGGAGACAGCC
rnacentral:snoRNA from 1 species